rnacentral:rRNA from 1 species
UACGUAGGUGGCGAGCGUUGUCCGGAAUUACUGGGCGUAAAGGGUGCGUAGGCGGCUCUUUAAGUGAGGUGUGAAAGCCCUGGGCUUAACCCAGGAAUUGCACUUCAAACUGGAGAGCUAGAGUGCAGGAGAGGAAAGUGGAAUUCCCAGUGUAGCGGUGAAAUGCGUAGAGAUUGGGAGGAACACCAGUGGCGAAGGCGGCCAUCUGGGACAACACUGACGCUGAAGCACGAAAGCGUGGGGAGCAAACAGG